GGCUCUGUAGCUCAGUAGGUAGAGCAAAGGACUGAAAAUCCUUGUGUCAGCGGUUCAAUUCCGCUUGGGGCCACCA
rnacentral:tRNA from 1 species